UACGGAGGGUGCAAGCGUUAUCCGGAUUUACUGGGUUUAAAGGGUGCGUAGGUGGGUUGGGAAGUCAGUGGUGAAAUACUUUCGCUUAACGAAGGAACUGCCAUUGAUACUAUCAAUCUUGAAUGUAGUGGAGGUAGGCGGAAUGCGUCAUGUAGCGGUGAAAUGCUUAGAUAUGACGCAGAACACCAAUUGCGAAGGCAGCUUGCUACACUACUAUUGACACUGAGGCACGAAAGCGUGGGAU
rnacentral:rRNA from 1 species